rnacentral:rRNA from 1 species
AUUGAACGCUGGCGGCAGGCCUAACACAUGCAAGUCGAGCGGAUGAAGGGUGCUUGCUCCUGGAUUCAGCGGCGGACGGGUGAGUAAUGCCUAGGAAUCUGCCUGGUAGUGGGGGAUAACGUCCGGACACGGGCGCUAAUACCGCAUACGUCCUGAGGGAGAAAGUGGGGGAUCUUCGGACCUCACGCUAUCAGAUGAGCCUAGGUCGGAUUAGCUAGUUGGUGGGGUAAAGGCCUACCAAGGCGACGAUCCGUAACUGGUCUGAGAGGAUGAUCAGUCACACUGGAACUGAGACACGGUCCAGACUCCUACGGGAGGCAGCAGUGGGGAAUAUUGGACAAUGGGCGAAAGCCUGAUCCAGCCACGCCGCGUGUGUGAAGAAGGUCUUCGGAUUGUAAAGCACUUUAAGUUGGGAGGAAGGGCAGUAAGUUAAUACCUUGCUGUUUUGACGUUACCAACAGAAUAAGCACCGGCUAACUUCGUG